UACAGGGGGUGCAAACGUUGCUCGGAAUCAUUGGGCGUAAAGCGCACGUAGGCGGUCUGUUAUGUCGGAUGUGAAAGCCCUGGGCUCAACCUGGGAACUGCAUUGGAUACUGGCUUACUAGAGUGCGGUAGAGGGGUGUGGAAUUCCCGGUGUAGCAGUGAAAUGCGUAGAUAUCGGGAGGAACAUCUGUGGCGAAGGCGACACCCUGGACCAGCACUGACACUGAGGCACGAAAAGCGUGGGGAGCAAACAGG
rnacentral:rRNA from 1 species